UUAAGACUUGCAGUGAUGUUUAACU
rnacentral:ncRNA from 3 species